UACGUAGGGGGCAAGCGUUGUCCGGAAUCAUUGGGCGUAAAGAGCGUGUAGGCGGCUCGAUAAGUCCGCUGUGAAAGUCCAGGGCUCAACCCUGGAAGGCCGGUGGAAACUGUCGGGCUAGAGUCCGGAAGAGGCGAGUGGAAUUCCCGGUGCAGCGGUGAAAUGCGCAGAUAUCGGGAGGAACACCAAUGGCGAAGGCAGCUCGCUGGGACGGUACUGACGCUGAGACGCGAAAGCGUGGGGAGCAAACAGG
rnacentral:rRNA from 1 species